GUCCACGCCGUAAACGAUGGAUACUAGCUGUUCGGAGCAAUCUGAGUGGCUAAGCGAAGUGAUAAGUAUCCCACCUGGGAGUACGUUCGCAAGAAUGAACUCAAGGAAUUGACGGGGCCCGCACAAGCGGUGGAGCAUGUGGUUUAAUUCGAUGAUACGCGAGGAACCUUACCAAGGCUUAAAUGUAGAUUGACAGGACUGGAAACAGUUUUUCUUCGGACAAUUUACAAGGUGCUGCAUGGUUGUCGU
rnacentral:rRNA from 1 species